GAUGAACGCUGGCUACAGGCUUAACACAUGCAAGUCGAGGGGAAACGACGGGGAAGCUUGCUUCCCCGGGCGUCGACCGGCGCACGGGUGAGUAACGCGUAUCCAACCUGCCUCUGACUGAGGGAUAACCCGUCGAAAGUCGGCCUAAUACCUCAUGGUAUCGUCUGCGGGCAUCCAACGACGAUUAAAGAUUUCAUCGGUCAGGGAUGGGGAUGCGUCUGAUUAGCUUGUUGGCGGGGUAACGGCCCACCAAGGCUACGAUCAGUAGGGGUUCUGAGAGGAAGGUCCCCCACAGUGGAACGGAGACACGGUCCAAACUACUACGGGAGGCAGCAGUGAGGAAUAUUGGUCAAUGGGCGAGAGCCUGAACCAGCCAAGUAGCGUGCAGGAAGACGGCCCUAUGGGUUGUAAACUGCUUUUAUGCGGGGAUAAAGUGAGGGACGUGUCCCUCAUUGCAGGUACCGCAUGAAUAAGGACCGGCUAAGUCCGUG
rnacentral:rRNA from 1 species